rnacentral:rRNA from 1 species
UAAUACGUAGGGUGCAAGCGUUAAUCGGAAUUACUGGGCGUAAAGCGUGCGCAGGCGGUUUGUUAAGUCAGAUGUGAAAUCCCCGGGCUCAACCUGGGAACUGCAUUUGAAACUGGCAAGCUAGAGUCUCGUAGAGGGGGGUAGAAUUCCAGGUGUAGCGGUGAAAUGCGUAGAGAUCUGGAGGAAUACCGGUGGCGAAGGCGGCCCCCUGGACGAAGACUGACGCUCAGGUGCGAAAGCGUGGGGAGCAAACAGGAUUAGAUACCCUGGUAGUCCACGCUGUAAACGAUGUCGAUUUGGAGGUUGUGCCCUUGAGGCGUGGCUUCCGGAGCUAACGCGUUAAAUCGACCGCCUGGGGAGUACGGCCGCAAGGUUA